UUUAUUAUGAGAGUUUGAUCCUGGCUCAGGAUGAACGCUGGCGGCGUGCCUAACACAUGCAAGUCGAGCGAAGGAUAUAUAGUGAAAUCUUCGGACUGA
rnacentral:rRNA from 1 species